AGUGAACGCUGGCGGUAGGCCUAACACAUGCAAGUCGAACGGCAGCACAGUAAGAGCUUGCUCUUACGGGUGGCGAGUGGCGGACGGGUGAGGAAUACAUCGGAAUCUACUUUUUCGUGGGGGAUAACGUAGGGAAACUUACGCUAAUACCGCAUACGACCUACGGGUUAAAGCAGGGGAUCUUCGGACCUUGCGCGAUUGGUUGAGCCGAUGUCGGAUUAGCUAGUUGGCGGGGUAAAGGCCCACCAAGGCGACGAUCCGUAGCUGGUCUGAGAGGAUGAUCAGCCACACUGGAACUGAGACACGGUCCAGACUCCUACGGGAGGCAGCAGUGGGGAAUAUUGGACAAUGGGCGCAAGCCUGAUCCAGCCAUACCGCGUGGGUGAAGAAGGCCUUCGGGUUGUAAAGCCCUUUUGUUGGGAAAGAAAAGCAGCAGGUUAAUACCCCGCUGUUCUGACGGUACCCAAAGAAUAAGCACCGGCUAACUUCGUG
rnacentral:rRNA from 1 species